AAAGCCCAACAACGUCGCCACUCCAAAUUUGGGGCGGAACUUCAUCAAAGGAUUAUUACCUGCCUCUAUGGCUCUGCGUUACCUCUUCGGCGGAGUAACCCACACCGCUGUCAACCAUACUCACCUCAUGCUCAAGCCCUAUAUUGGCUUCUGUGCACUGUUAAAUCACAAUGCUUUGAUCCCCAUUUCUUCUUCUUCAGCGUUUGUAUUUCUCCAUGGCUCUCCUUCUUUUUCUUCUGCAAACCCAAUUUCAGGUUCACAAAGUUGUACAACAUCACCCCCAUGUGGUGGCACUUGCAUUUACAUGGGUGCCCGCGAGGAUGAUUGGAUCAUCAGACUCGCCAAGUUUGCAGUAGAGCAGCACAAUUUCAAAGAGGGUGCGUACCUUUUGUGGAGAAGAUUGUAUCCAAUGCAUCUUUAUGGGAUGUUAGGAACGUUUCAGUGAAAAGUUACUUUUUGAGUAAGAAUCUUCAAUAUGUGAGGGUGUUGGGGGCAAGCCACACUAUGGUUUCUAGCAUAUUGUACCAUAUUACACUGGAGACAGUUGAUGCUACUAAGCCUAAGAUUUACCAUGCAGUUGUUUGGUUACAAAUAUUAAAGAACUUCAUGGAGUUGCUUGCGUGGAAGCCCGUUAAUGACCGCUUGUCGGUUCUUGGUGUUAAGUCCGGUGAUUUGAAAUUGCAUGAAGCUGUUAUGUUUUAUAUGAAUGAUGUACAGCGGGAUCGCUUCCUACACUGAAUGUACAAAGCCUACCUAUCUAACUUCCAAAUUUGGAUACGCCCGGCACAUUGCAUCAGUCACUCACAUACAGUUAUGUGAGGCCUACUUUUGUACGGUGAGCCACACGUGCUUGUAUAAGUGUCCAAUGCCACAAGUAGUACUUGUUUUUGGUUGGAACAAAUAUUCCUCCUAACCUUGGACCAAAAAAAUAUUCUUCCUAACCUUUGAAAUUCGCCUUUUCAACCUUAAACAAUGUAUAGUGAAUAGUGAAUUUUGGAUCUGUUAAUUAUAUAAUCUCCAGUAAUGUUUAUUUUUCC